rnacentral:misc_RNA from 1 species
GGGUAUAGUAAUCAAAUUACUGUAAGGCUUCCCAUGCCAAAAAAGCUUCUUUAGUGGCUUCAUCCUCGUGUUUCUAUAGUCUUACUAGGAUGGUCCUAAUGUUAUCUUAUGUGCUUUAAUUCUAUCCAACACGUGGGAAAAUAAUAUCAUAUCUGUAGAUGGAUAACAACUAGCAAGGGUCAUAUGUCUGCUUUAUGACCUUUUGUGCUUAUUAUCUUAAAAGGUCUAUCAGUUGUUUAUUCUCAACUUGCUCAGAGGAUAUUGACUAUAGUUCAUAUGUUCAAUUGCUUUUGUCAUAUUACUGAUUUAUUGUUGUGUCCUCUCUUUGUGGACUUCUCUCCCUCAAUAUGGAACAUUUCUUUUAAUAUGUUUUUUAUCUUGGAGUGGCCUAAUAUUGCAGCCCUUUGCUAUGUUAUAUUCCCAUACUAUUGUAAAUUUGUAAUCAAUCCCCUGUAGUGAGUAACCUGCAAAUAUUAUUUCUUAAUCAUCUUUUAGCUGACUUGAUCUCAACUUUAUUACUUCAAUAAUUCCAGGAAUAGAGGCUCGAAGAUUUAUAUUUGGGCACCAAUUGCUUUGGCGAUAAUCCAUU